rnacentral:rRNA from 1 species
GACGAACGCUGGCGGCGCGCUUAACACAUGCAAGUCGAGCGAGAACCAGCCCUUCGGGGCUGGGGAAAGCGGCGAACGGGUGAGUAACACGUGGGUAAUCUGCCCUCGGCACCGGAAUAGCCCGGGGAAACCCGGAUUAAUGCCGGAUAGCCUCUCGAGCCCUCGGGCUCGUGAGAAAAGGUAGCUUCGGCCUCUGGCCGAGGUGGAGCCCGCGGCGGAUUAGCUUGUUGGUGGGGUAAUGGCCCACCAAGGCGACGAUCCGUAGCUGGUCUGAGAGGACGCUCAGCCACACUGGGACUGAGACACGGCCCAGACUCCUACGGGAGGCAGCAGUGGGGAAUCUUGCGCAAUGGGCGAAGGCCUGACGCAGCGACGCCGCGUGCGGGAAGAAGGCCUUCGGGUUGCAAACCGCUUUCAGGAGGGACGAAGCCACUCGGGUGAAUAGCCCAGAGGGUGACGGUACCUCCAGAAGAAGCCCCGGCUAACUACGUGCCAGCAGCCGCCGUAACAC